rnacentral:rRNA from 1 species
UGAGGAAUCUUGCGCAAUGGGGGAAACCCUGACGCAGCGACGCCGCGUGGAGGAUGAAGGCCUUCGGGUCGUAAACUCCUGUCAGAGGUGAAGAAUGCCCGCAAGGGUUUGACGGUAACCUCAGAGGAAGCCCCGGCUAACUACGUGCCAGCAGCCGCGGUAAUACGUAGGGGGCAAACGUUACUCGGAAUUACUGGGCGUAAAGGGUGCGUAGGCGGCUGGGAAAGUCAAGGAUGAAAUCCCGUGGCUCAACUGCGGAACGGUCCUUGAAACUACUCGGCUUGAGGAUAACCGAAGAGAACGGAAUUCCCGGUGGAGCGGUGAAAUGCGUAGAUAUCGGGAGGAACACCUGAGGCGAAAGCGGUUCUCUAGACUACUCCUGACGCUGAGGCACGUAAGCUAGGGGAGCAAGCGG